AACGAACGCUGGCGGCAGGCCUAACACAUGCAAGUCGAACGCCCCGCAGGGGGAGUGGCAGACGGGUGAGUAACACGUGGGAACAUGCCCUUUGGUUCGGAAUAACUCAGGGAAACUUGAGCUAAUACCGGAUAAGUCCGCGAGGAGAAAGAUUUAUCGCCGAAGGAUUGGCCCGCGUCUGAUUAGCUUGUUGGUGAGGUAAUGGCUCACCAAGGCGACGAUCAGUAGCUGGUCUGAGAGGAUGAUCAGCCACAUUGGGACUGAGACACGGCCCAAACUCCUACGGGAGGCAGCAGUGGGGAAUAUUGGACAAUGGGCGCAAGCCUGAUCCAGCCAUGCCGCGUGAGUGAUGACGGCCUUAGGGUUGUAAAGCUCUUUUGCCCGGGAAGAUAAUGACGGUACCGGGAGAAUAAGCCCCGGCUAACUUCGUGCCAGCCGCCGCGGUAA
rnacentral:rRNA from 1 species